UCGCUAGCUGGUCUGAGAGGAAGAUCACCCACACUGGUACUGAGACACGGCCCAGACUCCUACGGGAGGCAGCAGUGGGGAAUAUUGGACAAUGGGCGCAAGCCUGAUCCAGCCAUGCCGCGUGCGGGAAGAAGGCCUUCGGGUUGUAAACCGCUUUUGUCAGGGAAGAAACGGUCCGAGUUAAUACCCCGGACUAAUGACGGUACCUGAAGAAUAAGCACCGGCUAACUACGUGCCAGCAGCCGCGGUAAUACGUAGGGUGCAAGCGUUAAUCGGAAUUACUGGGCGUAAAGCGUGCGCAGGCGGCUUUGCAAGACAGAUGUGAAAUCCCCGGGCUUAACCUGGGAACUGCAUUUGUGACUGCAUGGCUAGAGUGCGGCAGAGGGGGAUGGAAUUCCGCGUGUAGCAGUGAAAUGCGUAGAUAUGCGGAGGAACACCGAUGGCGAAGGCAAUCCCCUGGGCCUGCACUGACGCUCAUGCACGAAAGCGUGGGGAGCAAACAGGAUUAGAUACCCUGGUAGUCCACGCCCUAAACGAUGUCAACUGGUUGUUGGACGGCUUGCUGUUC
rnacentral:rRNA from 1 species